UCUAUUCGUCAGCUGAUCACGUCUGAAAUGUUUAAAUAUCUACUUUAGAUUACACGAAAUGAUUUUCUUCGAAAUGUUCGGAGGAAUGACACUUAAUCGGAACAUUGUUAUUAAUAUUUCAAAACUGAAUUAAGUAAUGCAAUUGUGUAGGAAGAAGAUUCUUCAGGAUGGAGCCUCAAGAUAUUUAUUACAACAAAGCUGAAUAUGUUGAAACGAUAUUCAAAACGUGAUACAUAACCUCACUUUUUCGUUAUUUUACGCCUCUGGAAAUAAGGUGAGCAGGCUGACUGUAUUGUGUGACUCGUAAAAUAUUGUGCUGGAAAAGUAAUAAUGCAAUCUGACGCUAUCAUUAGAGGCGAUCUGGCCAAUGUUAGAACGGGUCGCUAUUGUAUUAUUAGCAAGAAUGCUAUCAUCCAACCGUCUUUCAAGAAAUUCAGCAGGGGGGUUGCAUUUUUUUCUCUAAGGCUCAGUUCCACAAUACAUGGUUGACUCUUAACCGAGGUUUAGCUUGUUCCUU